CCUACGGGAGGCAGCAGUGGGGAAUAUUGCACAAUGGGGGAAACCCUGAUCCAGCGACGCCGCGUGAGUGAAGAAGUAUUUCGUUAUGUAAAGCUCUAUCAGUAGGGAAGAAAAUGACGGUACCUGAGUAAGAAUCCCCGGCUAACUACGUGCCAGCAGCCGCGGUAAUACGGAGGGAGCAAGCGUUAUCCGGAUUUACUGGGUGUAAAGGGAGCGUAGGCGGCAGUGCAAGUCCGGAGUGAAAGGCUGGGGCUCAACCCCCGGACUGCUCUGGAAACUGUACGGCUGGAGUGCAGGAGAGGUAGGUGGAAUUCCUGGUGUAGCGGUGAAAUGCGUAGAUAUUAGGAGGAACACCAAUGGCGAAGGCGGCUUACUGGACUGUAACUGACGUUGAGGCUCGAAAGCGUGGGUAGCAAACAGGAUUAGAUACCCCAGUAGUC
rnacentral:rRNA from 1 species